rnacentral:rRNA from 1 species
GAUGAACGCUGGCGGCGUGCUUAACACAUGCAAGUCGAACGAGAAGUGAAGACGGAAACCUUCUGGCGGAAGGCUUUAUUUCGAGUGGCGGACGGGUGAGUAACGCGUGGGUAACCUGCCUCAUACAGGGAGAUAACAGUUGGAAACGACUGUUAAUACCGCAUAAGACCACAGCACCGCAUGGUGCGGGGGUAAAAACUCCGGUGGUAUGAGAUGGACCCGCGUUCGAUUAGCCAGCUGGCGGGGUAACGGCCCACCAAAGCGACGAUCGAUAGCCGAUCAGAGAGGAUGACCGGAGACAUUGGGACUGAGACACGGCGCAAAAUCCUACGGGAGGCAGCAGUGGGGAAUAUUGCACAAUGGGGGAAACGAUGAUGCAGCGACGGCGCGUGAGUGAAGAAGUAUUUCGGUAUGUAAAGCUCUAUAAGCAGGGAAGAAAAUGACGGUACCUGAGGAAGAAGCCCCGGCUAACUACGUG